UACGGGGGGAGCAAGCGUUGUUCGGAUUUACUGGGCGUAAAGGGCGCGUAGGCGGCCACCGCAAGUCGGUUGUGAAAUCUCUGGGCUUAACCCAGAAAGGUCAACCGAUACUGCGGGGCUAGAGUGCAGAAGGGGCAACUGGAAUUCUCGGUGUAGCGGUGAAAUGCGUAGAUAUCGAGAGGAACACCUGCGGCGAAGGCGGGUUGCUGGGCUGAUACUGACGCUGAGGCGCGAAAGCUAGGGGAGCAAACGGG
rnacentral:rRNA from 1 species